rnacentral:snoRNA from 1 species
UAGAAGACUUUCAGGGAUCGUUUCUAUAGUUUGUUACUAGAGAAGGUUCUCUGCAUGUGUAGAGCACUGGAAGCCACGAGGAGGAGGGGCAGCGUCCUCUCCUGAGCAUGAAGCUGCCUCUUGGUAUUGCUUUGUUGCAAAUCCCUUUUGCCAUUGAUGAUAGUUCUUCUCUUCCCUUGGGGAGAGUAAGCAGAAGAGGAUGCAGUCUCCAGC